rnacentral:rRNA from 1 species
GACGAACGCUGGCGGCGUGCCUAAUACAUGCAAGUCGAGCGAAACCUUCCUGGUGCUUGCCCUAGAAACACUUAGCGGCGAACGGGUGAGCCACACGUAAAGAACCCUCCCCAUAGACUGGGACAAUUACUGGAAAUGAUAGCUAAUCACGGAUAACAGUAUUUCUCGCAGGCGAGCUAUUUAAAAGCUGGUUAUGCUAACAAUAUGCGAUGGCUUUGCGGUGCCUUAGCUAGUUGGUGGGGUAAAGGCCCACCAAGGCGACGAUGCAUAGCCGCCCUGAAGGGGUGGUCGGCCACCCUGGCACUGAGACACGGCCCAGACUCCUACGGGGGGCAGCAGUAGGGAAUCUUCCGCGAUGGGCCAAAGCCUGACGGAGCAACGCCGCGUGAGUGAAGAAGGAUUUCGGUUCGUAAAGCUCUGUUGUUAGGGAAGAAUGAAUGUGUAGUAACUCUACAUGUAAGUGACGGUACCUAGACAGAAAGCCACGGCUAACUACGUG